AUAAUAAUAAGAAAAAAAAUAGGGUUGAAAACUUUGUGUUGCUCAGACUUCACGAACAACAUUUUCUUCCUCCCUCAAACUUGCAAACAACGCAAUUUUCUUCAUCCUCUUCACACGAUCCUUCAUUCAAUUCCGUCAAAUCACACAGAUGCACUAUUGUUUCCCUCCAUCUGGUUCGCUUUCCCUUCAACUCUGCUCAAACGCGAUCUCAAAAUGCAUCCUUCUUCUCCCGUUCGCAAAGCUCCACCGUCGCGUCUUCAUUGUUCACAAAUCUUCCUUCGAUUCCACCAUCAUGAAUCGUUUCCGGUCGCAGCUUAUGUACCUCUGUUUGUUUUCAGUUUCGAUUCUGAUGAAGGUGAUGAAAACCGAAAGGUAUGUCUUUUCUCGUGCACAGUUUUCUUCUUAUGUCUUGUUCGCUACAUCUUGAUCUCUUCUUCUACUCCCUCUUCGUUUUUAUGUGUAUUCUAUUGUUGA